CGUCAUCUUUGCCUGGGGAAUAUUUUGAAGUCUCAGCACUUCAGGAUCAUUUCGAUGCUGACUGCCAGCAUAGCUAUUUAGAAAACGAGGCUGUGGAGGAGAAUGUGGGCAUUUCAGCCCGCCAGCCGGGAAUCUUCUUGUUCCACUGUGGUUUAAAGAAGAGUACUCUGCUGGAAACAUGAAGUGCCUGUUUACAGCUGGGAAUACCUCAGGAAAAGGGCAAACUAGUCCUGGCCCAGUGAAGUACUGAUUGUGUGCGCCAGCAAGGUAAACGUGGCUUGGUUUGUCAGCAGCAGUGUGCAGCCACGUUGUGAAUUCGUUUGAGCCAACUGAAGAGGUUCCUCUAAUCACCACCCAAAUUGUGAAUUAAUACGGUAAUACUUCUUGUGGCAGGAAUCUCUUCUCCUCAGAUUUAAGUAUGUAUUUCUAAAGAUAGUCUAAAAUGCCUUUUUUUUUUUUUUUUCUGUUUUCUCAGGAUUUUGUAGAAGCUUGUCCUGCUGAAGAUGAGCAGUUAGGUACUGAACAGCACCACGAGGAAAGCAGUCCAUCCCAUGGCCUGGUUGUAUUCCAUUUCUACUCCUUUGUUGAUUUACUUUACCAGAGACUUUAUUUGAAAACCAUAGGAAGUGGAUGCAUCAGAAGAUGUUUUGAGAUAAAGGUGACAUUGUUGAUUUUAAGUAUUUCACUAAGCAAGAGCUUCCUUGACCACACAAAAUGA
rnacentral:lncRNA from 1 species